ensembl:lncRNA
GAGUCGUGAAGACAUUGAUAUUGGCCAAGCCCUCACAAAAUUGAUUCAUCUUCUAGAAGCUGACAAGUAGGAGGUUAUAUGUCACCAAAAGAAAGACUAGUAACUACUUGAUCAAAUCCAACCCAUUUUAUAUUUCCUCCAAAUAUUCUCCAUUAAGAAUGUAAUUUGACAUAAAAAACAGGCCUGCUUAGAGAUAGAAUAUGAAAAUGAAAUGGAAAUAUAUGAGUAUUGCAAGAUGUUGGGUUUGUUUUUACUUUUUAAGUGCUCAAACCUGGAUUUCAUAACCUAUGCUUUGAAUUAGCAAUAGCUAUCAGAAUUAUUGCCAUAUAUUUUGCAUAAGUUUAACAGACAAGGCUUAAUUGGCUCACUGAACUGUGUCUUUGUGAGACUUUAAUUUUCCUGUAAGAACAGUAAAUGCCAACAAGAUAGACAUCCCUGUUCUUCUAAGCUUUGUUUAUAGUUCUAGGAAGUAAACAGGCAGUUAUUAUAUUAAAAAAAAAUUCCCUGUAUGCCAGCAACAUCUAAUUUUAAUAUGUAGGAGUUUUAGAGGAAAAGGGAUAGGGAUGUCAUAAAAAAGAACCCCAAAAUAUGCCUAAUACCUAGAACUUGAAGUCUGAUCUUGAUUCCCCUGUGGAUUAACAAACCACAUGUUUCUCAAUGUCACUGUCAUCUUGAUGUAUAGGAUAUUUGCCACUUAGUUUCUAAAAUGCUCUGAGAUCACAUUUUGGAGGCAUAUUUAUCUUGCAUACCCAUGGCAAGGAGAGCCAUUUGUCAAACUGGAUGUAAAAUAAAUUAAAUGGGAUUCUGCUGCCCAUACACAUUAAUGCCUCCCAAAGAGACCAGCGUGCUAACUUGGGCAAGACUUACAAAAGCUCAGUUGAAGUAUUAUCUCUUCUGUGGCCAACUUAAUUGCUCCCUCUGUGCUGGCCAUGUUUGCUGGUGGUUAUAGCUGUCUCCCCAAUAGGCUGAGAUCCUGAGGGCAGAGACUAUGUCUUAUUCAUCUUUGUAUCUCUGGUAACUUGCAUAGUGUUUUGUAAUCAGCAAGAAUUUGCUCAAAGACUGUAAAUACUCAUUUAAGGGUAGCCAACUGUUAGAUCUGAAUCCACCCCAACACUGAGUAUGCUCUAAAGUGUGCCACAGUUCAUAGCCACUUAUCUUUAGAGUCCUGAUAAAGAUAUUGAGGGACUAUGCAGUUUCUAUUUCUAUACCACAAACAUCUGCAGGAGGUGAUUCUACUAGCCUCACACUUCUCAGAGCCCUGGAAGGGUAAAGAUUAGAAAAACUGGGCCGGGUGCAGUGGCUCACGUCUGUAAUCCCAGCUGGGAGGCUGAGGUGGGCGGAUCAUGAGGUCAAGAGAUCGAGACUAUCCUGGCCAAUAUGGUGAAACCCCAUCUCUACCAAAAAUGCAAAAAUUAGCUGGGCAUGGUGGCAUACACCUAUAGUCAGGCUGAGGCAGGAGAAUCGCUUGAGAUUGCAGUGAGCCAAAAUCACGCCACAGCACUCCAGCCUGGUGACAGAGCAAGACUCUGUCUCAAAAAAGAAAAAAAGAAAAAGAAAAAGAAAAA